rnacentral:rRNA from 1 species
GACGAACGCUGGCGGCGUGCUUAACACAUGCAAGUCGAACGCUGAAACCAGAUGCUUGCAUUUGGUGGAUGAGUGGCGAACGGGUGAGUAACACGUGGGUGAUCUGCCCUACACUUUGGGAUAAGCCUGGGAAACUGGGUCUAAUACCGAAUAUUCACACCACCGUAGGGGUGGUGUGGAAAGCCUUGUGCGGUGUGGGAUGAGCCUGCGGCCUAUCAGCUUGUUGGUGGGGUAAUGGCCUACCAAGGCGUCGACGGGUAGCCGGCCGGAGAGGGUGUACGGCCGGAUUGGGACUGAGACACGGCCCAGACUCCUACGGGAGGGAGCAGUGGGGAAUAGUGCACAAUGGGCGCAAGCCUGAUGCAGCGACGCCGCGUGGGGGAUGACGGCCUUCGGGUUGUAAACUCCGUUCGCUAGGGACGAAGCCUAUGGUGACGGUACCUGGAGAAGAAGCACCGGCUAACUACGUGCCAGCCGCCGCAGUAAAAC